ensembl:snRNA U6 U6 spliceosomal RNA
GUGCUUGCUUCAGUAGCACAUACACUAAAAUUGGAACGAUAAAGAGAAGAUUAGCAUGGCUCUUUCACAAGGAUGACACACAAAUUUGUGAAGUGUUCCAUAUUUUU